UACGGGGGGGGGCAAGCGUUGUUCGGAAUUACUGGGCGUAAAGGGCUCGUAGGCGGCCAACUAAGUCGGAUGUGAAAUCCCCAGGCUCAACUUGGGAACUGCAUCCGAUACUGGAUGGCUUGAAUUCGGGAGAGGGAUGCAGAAUUCCAGGUGUAGCGGUGAAAUGCGUAGAUAUCUGGAGGAACACCGGUGGCGAAGGCGGCAUCCUGGACCAAUACUGACACUGAGGAGCGAAAGCCAGGGGAGCAAACGGG
rnacentral:rRNA from 1 species